rnacentral:rRNA from 1 species
GAUCCUGGCUCAGGAUAAACGCUGGCGGCGCACAUAAGACAUGCAAGUCGAACGGACUUAACCAUUAGUUUACUAUUGGAGCGGUUAGUGGCGGACUGGUGAGUAACACGUAAGCAACCUGCCUAUCAGAGGGGAACAACAGUUAGAAAUGACUGCUAAUACCGCAUAUGCCUAAGUACCACAUGGUACAAUGGGAAAGGNGCAAUCCGCUGAUAGAUGGGCUUGCGU